rnacentral:piRNA from 1 species
UGGUAGGAGCCAUGGUGAAUUCAUAUCUGG